UACGUAGGGCGCAAGCGUUGUCCGGAAUUAUUGGGCGUAAAGAGCUCGUAGGCGGUUUGUCGCGUCUGCUGUGAAAAUCCGGGGCUCAACCCCGGACUUGCAGUGGGUACGGGCAGACUAGAGUGUGGUUGGGGAGACUGGAAUUCCUGGUGUAGCGGUGGAAUGCGCAGAUAUCAGGAGGAACACCGAUGGCGAAGGCAGGUCUCUGGGCCACUACUGACGCUGAGAAGCGAAAGCAUGGGGAGCGAACAGG
rnacentral:rRNA from 1 species